ACUUUUGACUGUAUAAACAAACUGAAUUGAUUUAAUAAAAUAUGCAAAAUAACCAUCUGUUCUACUUUGAUCCACAUGUCCUUUAUGUUAAAGAUGCACCACAAUCUGUAACAUCCUCUACAUAUUUCUUGAGUUAAAAAAAACAAAACAAUAAAUACUUAUCAUGAGCCACAGGCCUGAACACAACUUAAAAAUAAAAGUUGUAAAAAUGGUAACAAAAGAAGCAUUACAUAUAUUGAAUUCUCAAUGUGUCCAGAGUGGAAAAUAAAUUUGUCAUUAAAGUAAUGUCCAGUUAGCACACCUCUGGAAACACUGGGAAAGUAAACAAAGUGAUUAUAUAGGCACUACUUACAAAAUUAUGAACAAAACAUUUUAUUGUGUUCGCCAACAAGGGAAAAACACUCCAGCUCAGACAUUUUCUGCUUCAAUUGGCAAACAGCAAACAUACAGCUCAGUCUAAUUGUAGACAUUGCUGAAAAACAAGUAAAAAUAUAGCUGCAGUUUUGAAUAUAAAUACUCCUGCACGGCGAGAUGCCAGGGCUGGAGUCAGGCAGGCUGUCCAGUUCAGAAUAUGAACAAAAAUACCCAAAUCUGGCCAUUUGUUUUUGUCUCUGCUAGAGGCAAAGCAAAGGCUCUGUGUGGUUGACUUCCUGUGAGCAUUCAGACAAACUGGACAUGACCACACUUCACUUUUAGUUUUUUAGCUUUUUUUUAAAUACAUGAUGCUGGGGUGGACACAAGAGGAAAAACACAGAGUGAAAGGAAAGGGAGGUUUCUGUAAUAGCUUGUUUGCAAGCUAAGAGGUCCUUUGUGUAUUGUUCAUUUUCCAUGUAAGAGGCUAAAUAAGCUGUUUAAAUUGAGCCUCAGAUGCUUUGCUGAACUGCUGAGUAAGAUCUAGUGUGGCAUUAAAAAUCAGCAGGAGAGCUAAUGUGCAAAGGGAGCAUUUAUAUUUCUGUCCUCCUGAAUCAUGCUUGGAAUACAGUCAUUACGUGUGGAGGAUGAAGGCUACGGCUACAGGCCAGAGCAGUAGCUCCUCUCUUCAAUCAGAGCCAGAUGUCUGACUGGGAGCAAAGCACCAAAGAAAAAGAGCUGCGGUCCCGUUGAACUGCAGGCUGCAGCAGGCACACAUGUUCACACAGCUUCAGAAAGACCUCUGAGGAGCUUCACCUGUAUUAUCACUUGUUUUAUUUAGGCAUUAUUUAAACAAAAAGGUAAAUUAUGACUAUUUAUAAAAUAAUUGAAGGGUGGUGUCAGUUUACUGUUGCUGAGAAAGGCUGGCAACUUUGAGAGGACCUUGAAGGGAGACAUGGUGGUGUGCGACUCAGUGAGCCCAAAGCCUUCCUUCGGAUGGUUUAGGGUGAAUAAUGUCCCCUAAACAGCGUUCACUCAUCCUGAAAUCUUCAGCAUUUUCAGACCGUCCUGAUCGCUGGCAGAAGCAUACAGUAGUGACAAGUCUAGUGACAUGCCAUAAAGACAGCAACCUCACUUUACCUAAGGAAAAAUAGAAAAAGCUUGGCUCUCACUUCAAAAUUUGGUUGCAUCAAAUGACAGCAACCAAAACAUUCCUGACUGUCCCGAGUACCGAAGGACAAAGUCAAGAGCUGAUAUAUUAUAAACCAUUCUGAAGGAAAUGUAGAGAAGAAUUAGAUAAGUCUGAAGCAAACUGAAAGGAAAAGGACCAUCCAUCCUUUUUCUAUACCUGCUGGUGUUUGUAGAGUCUUAACUGAUCCUUGAACAGAUUGCAAGUCCAUCACAGAACAGACAACCAUACACUCCCACUAUACCUAAGAGUGAUGUUUGGACUAUGGGAGAAAGCUAAUGAACCCACAAAUGCAGAUUCAUAAGAUAAUAUCAGCUGAGAAUAUUUUUUAUCACUGAGGAUGGCUUCUGACCAAAUUUUCUGCCCUUCCUUUUCAGACCUACUCUCUUGAGCUUCUCACAAUCUUACAAAUUUAGGUAAGUUAAAUCCAACGACAUCCAGAACUUCUUCUCUGCCUUGUUAUCUUCCAGCUGGGUCAAUGGAUGUUCUUGUCAGUCUUUGUAAACAAAGCACUGAAACCUCAUUCUACAUCACUUUAAAUACCUGGAGACUGCACACACAGCCAGCUGUGCUACUUGCUGUGUGGGUAAAGAAAAGGUUUCAGUGGUUCAAACGCACCUUAAAUCACUCUGAAAUCAGACAACAAAGUCAAUUAAAUAUGUUUUUAUUAUUGCUGCUUGCAGCAAUGUUUCAUAAGAUAAACAGAAACAAAACAAAACAUAAGAAAGACGACAAAAGGGUAAUCUUAAUUUACUUAAAGACGUGUUUGGCUGGUAGCCUGGUUGGGUGUGUGCCUGCUUCCGUCCACUGGGCCCCUAUGAGGGGCAUGGUGGCUAUGUGAUCCAGUGACUGUCACUCCUGAAAACCUCAUUGACUGUCUCUUUUCUUUAAGGUACACCCAAUCACAUUCAUGCAUCCCGUUCUUUAAUGCAUCCUUGCCGGUUGGCCGGUCUGAUCAAUCUGUAAAGAACUUUCAAACGUCAUUGAUGCGUUGAUGUCUUCAAGUCGAAAGAUUGGAUGAUCUGUUCUGCCAGCAUCCAAAACUGAAGAUAAAACUGGCUUUGGUAAAA